rnacentral:rRNA from 1 species
UACAGAGGGUGCAAGCGUUGUUCGGAAUUAUUGGGCGUAAAGGGAGUGUAGGCGGUUUGGUAAGUCUUCUGUGAAAUCUGCGGGCUUAGCCUGCAAAGUGCAGAGGAAACUGUCAGACUUGAGUAUUGGAGAGGGCAGGGGAAUACCCAGUGUAGAGGUGAAAUUCGUAGAGAUUGGGUGGAACACCAGUGGCGAAGGCGCCUGCCUGGCUGAUUACUGACGCUGAGACUCGAAAGCAUGGGGAGCAAACAGG